rnacentral:rRNA from 1 species
UACGGAGGAUCCGAGCGUUAUCCGGAUUUAUUGGGUUUAAAGGGUGCGCAGGCGGGAGAUUAAGUCGGCGGUGAAAUUUUGCAGCUCAACUGUAAAAGUGCCUUCGAAACUGGUUUCCUUGAGUGUAGAUGAAGUAGGUGGAAUUUGUGGUGUAGCGGUGAAAUGCUUAGAGAUCACACAGAAUAUCGAUUGCGAAGGCAGCUCACAAAGCCAAGAUUGACGCUGAGGCACGAAAGUGUGGGGAUCAAACAGGAUUAGAUA